rnacentral:lncRNA from 1 species
GAGAAGCAGUGUCGGGGUACAGAGGCAUAGACUAGCAAUUCAGUACCUAUGUUUGUAUGAGGGUUGAGCAAAUACAUUGCACGUAAAGUCAGCCAGGUUUCUCACUGUUGAUAAAAGAAGUUUAUAAAAUGGAAAGAGGAAAGGCUAGAAUGAACCUGGAGAUCUUUGGACUGGAAUUGGAGGUAUUAUAUGAAUUUAUGGUACUUUUUAAUUCAUACCCAGAUAGAUACAACAGAAAUACAGAUGUGUAUACAGGCAUGGGUUAGUAUACAUAUGUUUCCCAGCUCUGUCUCCUGAGAAGGCUUUGAUGCAAUAAUGUUCCAGUAGCAAUGAGCACCAUCACACCCAGGUCUGGGGUUCUAAAUAUCUUUCUCCAAUAACAGGAACCAGGGUUCCUUGGAAAAAUGAAUACUUCUAGGGCUGGAAUAGAAAAAACAUGAGUCCAUAGACCUGUCCCUGCCCACGGUGACACCUUUGUCUAAUUGGUUAUGAUGUUGGUUAGAUGUCUAAUUGGAUAUCUUUGUGCAGUGAUUUUGUAGUGGCAGCCUUGCAUCAGAAUAAUUCUCAAGCCUUUUUCACCCAUGGAGGAUAUGUUGAUACUGCCGCUUCCACCUUGGGAAACGUGACAAGAGGCGUCAUUGCCUGCCACCUCAACUAUGCAUCCAAGCUUGGAAGUGGCUGGAGGCAGAGGAUGGGAAGCUGUCACACAGGAAAAAGCCUUGCAGCAUCAAUUCUCUUCGGUGACAGAGCCACUGGAACAAAUUCUACUGGACAUUUUUGUGACAUAUUAUUUGGGGUGAUUAGAGUAUCACAAGCGGUGACAGAAUGCAGAUUUGGAAAACAGAAGAAAAGUCCCACUUAGACAACUUAAGGCACAAUCUGCUCUUAAGCACUUCCUCCCAAUAGCGUGCUGCUGUUCGAAUAUUUGCACUGGGCCAAGGUAUUGUGUUUCCAGAUGGGCCAAGGCAAGCAUGUGACUUUGGAAGGAUACCACAUUUAGUAGCCCUUUCCUUGAUUGUGAAACAAAUACUGACUGCUGUUACACCUAAAUUAGCCCUCUAUCAAGCUAGAGGAAAUAGUGCUAAG